rnacentral:rRNA from 1 species
GAUGAACGCUGGCGGCGUGCCUAAUACAUGCAAGUCGAACGCUGAAGGAGGAGCUUGCCCUUCUUGAUGAUUUGCGAGCGGGUGAGUAACGCAUAGGUAACCUCCCUGGUAGCGGGUGAGAACUAUUGGAAACGAUAGCUAAAAUCGCAGGACAACAGUUAUAGCGUGAUAAUUGUUUAAAAGGGGCAACUUCGCCACUACCAGUUGGACCUUCCUUGUAUUAGCUAGUUGGUGAGGUAACGGCUCACCAAGGCGACGAUACAUAGCCGACCUGAGAGGGUGAUCGGCCACACUGGGACUGAGACACGGCCCAGACUCCUACGGGAGGCAGCAGGAGGGAAUCUUCGGCAAUGGACGGAAGUCUGACCGAGCAACGCCGCGGGAGUGAAGAAGGUUUUCGGAUCGUAAAGCUCUGUUGUAAGAGAAGAACGAGUGUGAGAGUGGAAAGUUCACACUGUGACGGUAUCUUAACAGAAAGGGGCGGCUAACUACGUG